UACACUCCUACGGGAGACAGCAGUGGGGAAUUUUGGACAAUGGGCGAAAGCCUGAUCCAGCAAUGCCGCGUGAGUGAAGAAGGCCUUCGGGUUGUAAAGCUCUUUUGUCAGGGAAGAAACGGUGAAAGCUAAUAUCUUUUGCUAAUGACGGUACCUGAAGAAUAAGCACCGGCUAACUACGUGCCAGCAGCCGCGGUAAUACGUAGGGUGCAAGCGUUAAUCGGAAUUACUGGGCGUAAAGCGUGCGCAGGCGGUUUUGUAAGUCUGAUGUGAAAUCCCCGGGCUCAACCUGGGAAUUGCAUUGGAGACUGCAAGGCUAGAAUCUGGCAGAGGGGGGUAGAAUUCCACGUGCAGCAGUGAAAUGCGUAGAUAUGUGGAGGAACACCGAUGGCGAAGGCAGCCCCCUGGGUCAAGAUUGACGCUCAUGCACGAAAGCGUGGGGAGCAAACAGGAUUAGAUACCCGGGUAGUCCC
rnacentral:rRNA from 1 species